rnacentral:rRNA from 1 species
AGAGUUUGAUUAUGGCUCAGGAUGAACGCUGGCGGCGUGCCUAACACAUGCAAGUCGAACGGGGUUAUUCAGGAAAUUUCCUUCGGGGAAUGGAAUCUUUAACCUAGUGGCGGACGGGUGAGUAACGCGUGAGCAAUCUGCCUUCGGAUGGGGGAUAACAGCCGGAAACGGCUGCUAAUACCGCAUAACACAUGGGAUCCGCAUGUUUCCCAUGUCAAAGAUUUAUCGUCCGGAGAUGAGCUCGCGUCUGAUUAGCUGGUUGGCGGGGUAACGGCCCACCAAGGCGACGAUCAGUAGCCGGACUGAGAGGUUGAACGGCCACAUUGGGACUGAGACACGGCCCAGACUCCUACGGGAGGCAGCAGUGGGGAAUAUUGCGCAAUGGGGGCAACCCUGACGCAGCAACGCCGCGUGAUUGAAGAAGGCCUUCGGGUUGUAAAGAUCUUUAAUCGGGGACGAAUUUUGACGGUACCCGAAGAAUAAGCUCCGGCUAACUACGUGCCAGCAGCCGCGGUAAUACGUAGGGAGCAAGCGUUAUCCGGAUUUACUGGGUGUAAAGGGCGUGUANGCGGGCAUGCAAGCCAGAAGUGAAAUCUGGGGGCUUAACCCCCAAACUGCUUUUGGAACUGCGUGU